GUGUCGUUCGAGUGUACGUUCGUCAUCGUAGCAUCGCGAGGAGGCCGGGCGAGGGUGCGAUUCCGCCGUUCUUGACGUCGCGCCGGAUUGGAAUUAGCUAUCAAGUGGGUUGAUCGUCGGUUUAGCUUCUAAGUAUAUAUGUGUAGUCGGCAUGGGUGCAUGGUAGUAUGUUGUAUAUCGCAUUUGCUCGAUUCUUGAUUUAGUAUAGUUACUAAUAAAAUCUGAAUCGGAGUCUUGUCGUUUGCCUAUAUUUACUAGCACAUGUUGGACUUGGAUGUGACUUAGGAGAAAACUGCGAUUAUGAUCUGUCAUAUGUUUAAACUAUCUGAUUUAGCUCUACGAGCCGUUGUUAUUUUGUAUCGCCGCAGUAUCGGCGUGGUGGAUAUCCCAGGUAGUUUAGAUUUCAGUUACGCUCGUGCUGGGAUGCCGAGUUUAUUUUUACAGUAGCAUUCAGACCGUUCCGGAUUGUUGGGGGCCGUCGGGGUUGACGGUGGACCCAUAUCGCCGUUUUGGCAUCGGAUUGUGCAGAGGGCACUUGACCUGUUGAUUGUUAGACCAGUUAGAU
rnacentral:lncRNA from 1 species